rnacentral:rRNA from 1 species
GAUGAACGCUGGCGGCGUGCUUAAUACAUGCAAGUCGAACGGACGGACGCUAAGCUUGCUGCUUUGAUGUUUGCGGCAGACGGGUGAAUAACACGUGUAUAACCCCCCUAUAAUACUGGGAUAACUUCGGGAAACCGGAUCUAACACCGGAUAAUAUUCUGCUGCGCAGGGUUCAAAAGAGAAAUUCGGUCUUGCGGUCUCGUAUAGAUGGAUCCGCGCUGCAUUGGCUAGUUGGUAAGGUAACGGCUUACCAAGGCAACGAUGCAUAGCCGACCUGCGGGGGUGAUCGGCCACACUGGAACUGAGACACGGUCCAGACUACUACGGGAGGCAGCAGUAGGGUAUCGUCGGCAGUGGGCGAAAGCCUGACGGAGCAACGCCGCGUGAGUGGUGGAGGUCUUCGGAUCGUAAAACUCUGUUAUGAGGGAAGAACAGAUGUGUCAGUAAAUGUGGACAGCGUGACGGUACCUAAUCAGAAAGCAACGGCUAACUACGUG